CUGGCAGUGGAGGCAAGUGUCUUGCUGGAGCUCCCUGCAGAAAUGAAGCUUUCUGAAGCUUGUGUUUUUCCCCCAUACAUUUGACCUGCUGCCUACCAAGUACUUCAUAUGGAUAUUCGUACCCAGAGCAGUCCCAGUCGUGUGAGUGGCCUUUUCUCAGCACAGGAAAGUACAAAGACAUCUGCUGGCAUGGAAUACCACAUGGAAGAGAUUUUCCAGAGGUCUCCAGCACAGCCUUAGUGCCCGCAGCUUUUUGUUGAAUCUCAGAAAGCCCACGCGUCCUGAAAAAUAGGGAUGGCACCAGCUUGCUUCAGCAUCUCUAUUCCUCAUACAGCAGUGAGAAUGUUUGCUAUCUUCUUAAGUGCAUCUGGACAACUGUGUUUUGAAUUCAGAGCAGAAAGGAUUUUCCCAAAUAUUUUCUUGCCUCACAAACACUCUGUAUCCAAAAGUGCCUGCAUCCUUUAGAUCAUUCUCGUUGUCAAACUGUGAGCAAUUUGGGAGUACUAUUUUUACCACUGCUAACUGGUUCUGAGCAGAGACUUGAAGGCCAGUUCCAGCACAUAGCCAAACAGCAGCAGGCUGCUGAUCCCAAGGAACCCUGAGAAGGAAUGCUCUUCGCCAUCCCCAAGGCAGGCUGCUUU